AGGGGGCNGCUACACAUGCAGUCGAACGGUAGCACAGAGAGCUUGCUCUCGGGUGACGAGUGGCGGACGGGUGAGUAAUGUCUGGGAAACUGCCUGAUGGAGGGGGAUAACUACUGGAAACGGUAGCUAAUACCGCAUAACGUCGCAAGACCAAAGAGGGGGACCUUCGGGCCUCUUGCCAUCAGAUGUGCCCAGAUGGGAUUAGCUAGUAGGUGGGGUAACGGCUCACCUAGGCGACGAUCCCUAGCUGGUCUGAGAGGAUGACCAGCCACACUGGAACUGAGACACGGUCCAGACUCCUACGGGAGGCAGCAGUGGGGAAUAUUGCACAAUGGGCGCAAGCCUGAUGCAGCCAUGCCGCGUGUAUGAAGAAGGCCUUCGGGUUGUAAAGUACUUUCAGCGGGGAGGAAGGGAAUAAGGUUAAUAACCUUAUUCAUUGACGUUACCCGCAGAAGAAGCACCGGCUAACUCCGUGCCAGCAGCCGCGGUAAUACGGAGGGUGCAAGCGUUAAUCGGAAUUACUGGGCGUAAAGCGCACGCAGGCGGUCUGUCAAGUCGGAUGUGAAAUCCCCGGGCUCAACCUGGGAACUGCAUUCGAAACUGGCAGGCUGGAGUCUUGUAGAGGGGGGUAGAAUUCCAGGUGUAGCGGUGAAAUGCGUAGAGAUCUGGAGGAAUACCGGUGGCGAAGGCGGCCCCCUGGACAAAGACUGACGCUCAGGUGCGAAAGCGUGGGGAGCAAACAGGAUUAGAUACCUGGUAGUCCACGCUGUAAACGAUGUCGACUUGGAGGUUGUUCCCUUGAGGAGUGGCUUCCGGAGCUAACGCGUUAAGUCGACCGCCUGGGGAGUACGGCCGCAAGGUUAAAACUCAAAUGAAUUGACGGGGCCCGCACAAGCGGUGGAGCAUGUGGUUUAAUUCGAUGCAACGCGAAGAACCUUACCUACU
rnacentral:rRNA from 1 species